rnacentral:misc_RNA from 1 species
CUGAAUUGUCAACAGGAGUUGUUGCUGGUCCUCAAACCGAGGGCAUGUGCACGCUCUGUUUACACAUCCACUCACACCUGUGCACACUCUCUGUAGUCCUAUGGCUUGGGGGCUCUGUUCCCUUGCCGUGGUUCUGCAUCUUUACACACACACCGUAAUAAAGUCUUAUGGAAUGUAUGUCGCGUUUAACGCAAUAUAAUA